UAGGGAAUCUUCCGCAAUGGACGAAAGUCUGACGGAGCAACGCCGCGUGAGUGAAGAAGGAUUUCGGUUCGUAAAACUCUGUUGUUAGGGAAGAAAAAAUGUAUAGUAACUAUAUAUAAAAGAGACGGUACCUAACCAGAAAGCCACGGCUAACUACGUGCCAGCAGCCGCGGUAAUACGUAGGUGGCAAGCGUUGUCCGGAAUUAUUGGGCGUAAAGCGCGCGCAGGUGGUUUAGAAAGUCUGAUGUGAAAGCCCACGGCUCAACCGUGGAGGGUCAUUGGAAACUAAUAAACUUGAGUGCAGGAGAGAAAAGGGGAAUUCCUAGUGUAGCGGUGAAAUGCGUAGAGAUUAGGAGGAACACCGGUGGCGAAAGCGGCUUUUUGGCCUGCAACUGACACUGAGGCGCGAAAGCGUGGGGAGCAAACAGG
rnacentral:rRNA from 1 species